rnacentral:rRNA from 1 species
CUACGGGCGUCUGCAGUGGGGAAUAUUGGACAAUGGGCGAAAGCCUGAUCCAGCCAUGCCGCGUGUGUGAAGAAGGCCUUCGGGUUGUAAAGCACUUUCAGUGGGGAAGAAAGCCUUGGGGCUAAUACCCUCGAGGAAGGACAUCACCCACAGAAGAAGCACCGGCUAACUCCGUGCCAGCAGCCGCGGUAAUACGGAGGGUGCGAGCGUUAAUCGGAAUUACUGGGCGUAAAGCGCGCGUAGGCGGUCUGAUAAGCCGGUUGUGAAAGCCCCGGGCUCAACCUGGGAACGGCAUCCGGAACUGUCAGGCUAGAGUGCAGGAGAGGAAGGUAGAAUUCCCGGUGUAGCGGUGAAAUGCGUAGAGAUCGGGAGGAAUACCAGUGGCGAAGGCGGCCUUCUGGACUGACACUGACGCUGAGGUGCGAAAGCGUGGGUAGCAAACAGGAUUAGAUACCCGAGUAGUC